GAUCAGGUAGGGAUACCCGCUGAACUUAAGCAUAUCAAUAAGCGGAGGAAAAGAAACCAACAGGGAUUACCUCAGUAACGGCGAGUGAAGCGGUAACAGCUCAAAUUUGAAAUCUGGGCCUUUCAGGCUCCGAGUUGUAAUUUGUAGAAGAUGCUUCGGGUGCGGCUCCGGUCUAAGUUCCUUGGAACAGGACGUCAUAGAGGGUGAGAAUCCCGUAUGUGAUCGGCUGCUUGCGCCCAUGUGAAGCUCUUUCGACGAGUCGAGUUGUUUGGGAAUGCAGCUCAAAAUGGGUGGUAAAUUUCAUCUAAAGCUAAAUAUUGGCCAGAGACCGAUAGCGCACAAGUAGAGUGAUCGAAAGAUGAAAAGCACUUUGGAAAGAGAGUUAAACAGUACGUGAAAUUGUUGAAAGGGAAGCGCUUGCAACCAGACUUGCGCGUUGCCGAUCAUCCGGGGUUCUCCCCGGUGCACUCGGCCUCGCUCAGGCCAGCAUCGGUUUCGGUGGUGGGAUAAAGGCCCCAGGAAUGUGGCUCCUCUCGGGGAGUGUUAUAGCCUGGGGUGCAAUGCCGCCUACCGGGACCGAGGACCGC
rnacentral:rRNA from 1 species